rnacentral:rRNA from 1 species
AACGAACGCUGGCGGCAGGCCUAACACAUGCAAGUCGAACGAACCCUUCGGGGUUAGUGGCGGACGGGUGCGUAACACGUGGGAACGUGCCUUUAGGUUCGGAAUAACUCAGGGAAACUUGUGCUAAUACCGAAUGUGCCCUUCGGGGGAAAGAUUAAUCGCCUUUAGAGCGGCCCGCGUCUGAUUAGCUAGUUGGUUGAGGUAAUGGCUCACCAAGGCGACGAUCAGUAGCUGGUCUGAGAGGAUGAUCAGCCACAUUGGGACUGAGACACGGCCCAAACUCCUACGGGAGGCAGCAGUGGGGAAUCUUGCGCAAUGGGCGAAAGCCUGACGCAGCCAUGCCGCGUGAAUGAUGAAGGUCUUAGGAUUGUAAAAUUCUUUCACCGGGGACGAUAAUGACGGUACCCGGAGAAGAAGCCCCGGCUAACUUCGUG